UCAUGCUCGUGGAGCGGCCGAUAUCUGAUUAGCUAGUUGGUAGGGUAAAAGCCUACCAAGGCAUCGAUCAGUAGCUGGUCUGAGAGGACGACCAGCCACACUGGAACUGAGACACGGUCCAGACUCCUACGGGAGGCAGCAGUGGGGAAUUUUGGACAAUGGGCGAAAGCCUGAUCCAGCAAUGCCGCGUGAGUGAAGAAGGCCUUCGGGUUGUAAAGCUCUUUUGUCAGGGAAGAAACGGUGGUUUCUAAUACAGAUCACUAAUGACGGUACCUGAAGAAUAAGCACCGGCUAACUACGUGCCAGCAGCCGCGGUAAUACGUAGGGUGCAAGCGUUAAUCGGAAUUACUGGGCGUAAAGCGUGCGCAGGCGGUUCCGCAAGUCAGAUGUGA
rnacentral:rRNA from 1 species